CGCGUAGGCUGUCUUUCAAGUCAUAUGUGAAAACCUCAGGCUUAACUUGAGGAUUGCAUAUGAAACUGGAAGACUUGAGUGCAGUAGGGGAAAGUGGAAUUCCUGGUGUAGCGGUGAAAUGCGCAGAUAUCAGGAAGAACACCGGUAGCGAAGGCGGCUUUCUGGGCUGCUACUGACGCUGAGGCGCGAAAGCUAGGGGAGCAAACA
rnacentral:rRNA from 1 species